AGUCGAACGGUAACAGGUCUUCGGAUGCUGACGAGUGGCGAACGGGUGAGUAAUACAUCGGAACGUGCCCGAUCGUGGGGGAUAACGAGGCGAAAGCUUUGCUAAUACCGCAUACGAUCUACGGAUGAAAGCGGGGGAUCUUCGGACCUCGCGCGGACGGAGCGGCCGAUGGCAGAUUAGGUAGUUGGUGGGGUAAAAGCUUACCAAGCCGACGAUCUGUAGCUGGUCUGAGAGGAUGAUCAGCCACACUGGGACUGAGACACGGCCCAGACUCCUACGGGAGGCAGCAGUGGGGAAUUUUGGACAAUGGGCGAAAGCCUGAUCCAGCCAUGCCGCGUGCAGGAUGAAGGCCUUCGGGUUGUAAACUGCUUUUGUACGGAACGAAAAGCCUCUUUCUAAUAAAGAGGGGUCAUGACGGUACCGUAAGAAUAAGCACCGGCUAACUACGUGCCAGCAGCCGCGGUAAUACGUAGGGUGCAAGCGUUAAUCGGAAUUACUGGGCGUAAAGCGUGCGCAGGCGGUUUUGUAAGACAGAGGUGAAAUCCCCGGGCUCAACCUGGGAACUGCCUUUGUGACUGCAAGGCUGGAGUGCGGCAGAGGGGGAUGGAUUCCGCGUGUAGCAGUGAAUGCGUAGAUAUGCGGAGGAA
rnacentral:rRNA from 1 species